rnacentral:rRNA from 1 species
AUUGAACGCUGGCGGCAUGCUUUACACAUGCAAGUCGAACGGCAGCGCGGGCUUCGGCCUGGCGGCGAGUGGCGAACGGGUGAGUAAUGCAUCGGAACGUGCCCAGUAGUGGGGGAUAGCCCGGCGAAAGCCGGAUUAAUACCGCAUACGACCUGAGGGUGAAAGCGGGGGACCGAAAGGCCUCGCGCUAUUGGAGCGGCCGAUGUCGGAUUAGCUAGUUGGUGGGGUAAAGGCUUACCAAGGCGACGAUCCGUAGCUGGUCUGAGAGGACGACCAGCCACACUGGGACUGAGACACGGCCCAGUCUCCUACGGGAGGCAGCAGUGGGGAAUUUUGGACAAUGGGGGCAACCCUGAUCCAGCCAUGCCGCGUGCGGGAAGAAGGCCUUCGGGUUGUAAACCGCUUUUGUUCGGGAAGAAAUCCUCUGGGCUAAUACCCCGGGGGGAUGACGGUACCGGAAGAAUAAGCACCGGCUAACUACGUG